CAAUAGCGUAUAUUAAAGUUGUUGCAGUUAAAAAGCUCGUAGUUGAAACUUGGGCCUGGCUGGCGGGUCCGCCUCACCGCGUGCACUCGUCCGGCCGGGCCUUCCUUCUGAAGAACCUCAUGCCCUUCACUGGGCGUGCUGGGGAAUCAGGACUUUUACUUUGAAAAAAUUAGAGUGUUCAAAGCAGGCCUUUGCUCGAAUACGUUAGCAUGGAAUAACACGAUAGGACUCUGGCUUAUCUUGUUGGUCUGUGAGACCAGAGUAAUGAUUAAGAGGGACAGUCGGGGACAUUCGUAUUUCAUUGUCAGAGGUGAAAUUCUUGGAUUUAUGAAAGACGAACUUCUGCGAAAGCAUUUGUCAAGGAUGUUUUCAUUA
rnacentral:rRNA from 1 species